AAAAGUUGGCGCGUGAUUCAAAUGAGUUCAAAAAUCAUCCAGAAUGAGUUCCCAUCACCAUAAUGAUGAUUGCUGUUAAGCUUACAAUGAAGAAUUCAGUGAGAACACUUGCCCAGGUGGAUACAAAUAGGGACAAAACAAGAAGAGGAUAAACUCAUAAGUGAUGAUUUUAUUGCAAUCCAGAACGUAGGUAGGACGCUUUUUCAGUCUCGAAGAGUAGCUGAGGCCUGGAUGGACUGUUAAUAACCUGAAGAUGAAUUAAUCAUACACUAUGGAUGAUGUCUGAGAGGGACUAGCCAAUAGGUUUUAUAUUUCUACCGAAUAGUGUAUGUACCAGUGACAGGUUAGAUAUCUCUUACUUCUAAGAAAGAGUUUUUGGAAUCGGACUGUGUUGGAAAGAGUAUUUCAAAGGAGUCAUGACGCGAUAGUCAAAUUGUCUACCAGAAGGCAACUUGAACACGUCGGUUUAUAAUCACCAUUUAGGAAUCAGGAUGGUUAGGACUGGGAAAGAUUACGGCCGAUAAUAUUUCGAAUGUCUCACCGUCACGCAACGCUACGCCCUCGUGAGAAAGGGCCCUCUCUGCCGAGAGCGAAGCGUUGCGUGACAGAGAAGUGCCCAGAAAGGGGGUUUUCACUGGCUCUGUGUGAUGAAUUAAUAGGGAGUUUAAGAAAACCACGACGGCAACGGCAACGGCAACCUCACUGAACAAAAGGUUC
rnacentral:lncRNA from 1 species